rnacentral:misc_RNA from 1 species
AUCCUGCCAAAGGGCAGGGGAACUUGCACUGGGCCAUUGUUUGUUUAGUUUUGAAGGAUGUAUUCCUUCCCUUGUUCUUUGAAAACUGAAUAGUUGAAUCGACAUUUAUCAUCAAAUGAAGACAACACCGAGAUAGCGGAAUGAGCAAUCAUUCCACGUUGAAGAGUCUAUUUUAUUGCAAGGCAAUAAACGAGAACACAACGCUACACAUACUCACUUAACUCCGG